rnacentral:misc_RNA from 1 species
GAUGAAGAACGUAGCAAAAUGCGAUAAGUAAUGUGAAUUGCAGAAUUCAGUGAAUCAUCGAAUCUUUGAACGCACAUUGCGCCCGCUGGUAUUCCGGCGGGCAUGCCUGUUCGAGCGUCAUUUCAACCCUCAAGCCCCCGGGUUUGGUGUUGGGGAUCGGCUCUGCCCUUCUGGGCGGUGCCGCCCCCGAAAUACAUUGGCGGUCUCGCUGCAGCCUCCAUUGCGUAGUAGCACACCUCGCACUGGGAAACAGCGCGGCCACGCCGUUAAACCCCCAACUUCUGAACGUUUGACCUCGGAUCAGGUAGGAAUACCCGCUGAACUUAAGCAUAUCAAUAAGCGGAGGA